GCGUUUAUGGUGAAGUUGGCUAACACACCUGACUGUGACUCAGGCACUCGUGGGUUCAAGUCCCACUAAACGCCCCA
rnacentral:tRNA from 1 species